ACACUUACCUGUCAGGGGAGAUCCCAUGACCAUGAAGGUAGUUUUUCCAGGUGAGGCUUAUCCAUUGCACUCUGGAUGUUCUGACCUCUCCAAUUUACCCCCCAAAUGUGGGAAACUUGGCUACAUAAUUUGUAGUAGUGGGGGACUUUGUGCUUAUCCCCAA
rnacentral:snRNA from 1 species